AUUUAUAUAGUAUAAUUAUUAUUUUUGAUUUCCAAUCAAAAGAUCUAAAUUGUUUAGUAUAAAUA
rnacentral:tRNA from 1 species